rnacentral:rRNA from 1 species
ACACGACUCUCGGCAAUGGAUAUCUCGGCUCUCGCAUCGAUGAAGAGCGCAGCGAAAUGCGAUAUGUGGUGCGAAUUGCAGAAUCCCGCGAACCAUUGAGUCUUUGAACGCAAGUUGCGCCUGAGGCCAACCGGCUGAGGGCACGUCCGCCUGGGCGUCAAGC